GACGAACGCUGGCGGCGUGCCUAAUACAUGCAAGUAGAACGCUGAAGGAGGAGCUUGCUUCUCUGGAUGAGUUGCGAACGGGUGAGUAACGCGUAGGUAACCUGCCUGGUAGCGGGGGAUAACUAUUGGAAACGAUAGCUAAUACCGCAUAAUAUUGAUUAUUGCAUGAUAGUCAAUUAAAAGGUGCAAUUGCAUCACUACCAGAUGGACCUGCGUUGUAUUAGCUAGUUGGUGAGGUAACGGCUCACCAAGGCGACGAUACAUAGCCGACCUGAGAGGGUGAUCGGCCACACUGGGACUGAGACACGGCCCAGACUCCUACGGGAGGCAGCAGUAGGGAAUCUUCGGCAAUGGACGGAAGUCUGACCGAGCAACGCCGCGUGAGUGAAGAAGGUUUUCGGAUCGUAAAGCUCUGUUGUAAGAGAAGAACGAGUGUGAGAGUGGAAAGUUCACACUGUGACGGUAUCU
rnacentral:rRNA from 1 species